GGGGAUUUAGCUCAGCGGUAGAGCGCUUGCCUAGCAAGCACAAGGCCCUGGGUUCGAUCCCCAACUCUG
rnacentral:tRNA from 1 species